GAAAAAUAAAAUGAACGGACGGGUAC
rnacentral:piRNA from 1 species